rnacentral:lncRNA from 1 species
GUGGCAUAUGUGUGAAAAAGAUGAUCAGCAGUAAAGAUCCAAUGAAGAGGAUUUGCAAAGAAGUAGAAAAUGCUUUUCCUCUCUUCAGAGCUUCAUAGAGACAUAUUUGUAUAUCGGUUUUUAAAUUCAAGAAAGCAGUCUGAAUGCAUGUCAUCCUUCUUUCUGAAGCACACAAAGAAAAAAGCUGAUUUGUUCACCUCAUGCAUGGACUUAAUACAGUUUCCAACAAUAAAAUAUAUGUUGAUUAUUGCUUUGCACUCUUGUAGCAGCCUCAUUAGUUUCAUU